GAAAUUAUGUGUUGCACUUUGUAAAUUUACUAAAAAAGAGUUUAAUAAUUUAAUAAAUAAUUCUAAAACUUUUUUCUUUUCUUUUUCAGGUUGGCAUUUUUUUCAAAUUUUCUGUAAACAUUUGUUUCAGAUUUUCAAAUACUUCACAUUCAUUUUUCUCUUUAACGACCCUUUUAUCUUAGCUUAUAUUCUUAGCCAAAGAACAUUAAAGAACAUUGCUGAAAACUGACAAUAAAUACUUUACGUUAUAUUUGGCUAUACAUUUGAAGUAUUUGAACUAUUAAAAGAACCAUUUAACAGACAAAGCAACGAAUCAUAUUAGAUGGAGAAAAUAGAGAAAUUUAUCAGAUGCCACAUAGCCAGGUUGCUACAUUGCUAUAUUUCCUACAAAUCAUUUUCCAAGCUUCUGAAAAAUGAUUAUUCGAAGAAAACAUAUAGCAUACAGGCAUUAGAGCUUUCAGGAAUAGAUUUUUUCCAAUUUAGUUACUUUAAUUUGCAAAAUGUUCAUUUUACAAAGAAAUUUGAAGUU